rnacentral:rRNA from 1 species
GAUGAACGCUGGCGGUGUGCCUAACACAUGCAAGUCGAACGGCAAGACAGUAAUAUCUUGCUCUUACCGGUGGCGGGUGGCGGACGGGUGAGGAGUGCAUCAGAAUCUUCUUUUUCGGGGAGGAUAACGUAAGUAAGGUUACGAUAAUACCGCAUAUCAUGCACCGGGGAAAGCAUUGGAUAUUCGGGCCGUUCGGGGUUGAAUUAGCGGAUUUCGGGUUAGCUAGUUGGGGGGGUAAAGGCCCACCAAGGCAAGGAUCCGUAGCUGGUGUGAGAGGCUGGUCGGCCACACUGGAACUGAGACACGGUCCAGACUACUACGGGAGGCAGCAGUGGGGAAUAUUGGACAAUGGGAGAAAGCCUGACACAGCAAUGCCGCGUGGGUGACGAAGGCCUUCGGGUCGUAAAGCCCUUUUGUUGGGAAAGAACAGCAGCAGGUUAAUACACAGCUGUUCUGACGGUACCCAAUGAAUAAGCACCGGCUAACUUCGUG